UACGUAGGGUGCAAGCGUUAAUCGGAAUUACUGGGCGUAAAGCGUGCGCAGGCGGUUAUGUAAGACAGAUGUGAAAUGCCCCGGGCUUAACCUGGGAACUGCAUUUGUGACUGCAUGGCUAGAGUUUGGCAGAGGGGGGUAGAAUUCCACGUGUAGCAGUAGAAAUGCGUAGAUAUGUGGAGGAACACCGAUGGCGAAGGCAGCCCCCUGAGU
rnacentral:rRNA from 1 species